rnacentral:rRNA from 1 species
UCAGGAUGAACGCUGGCGGCGUGCCUAAUACAUGCAAGUCGAGCGAACCACUUCGGUGGUGAGCGGCGAACGGGUGAGUAACACGUAGGUGAUCUGCCCAUCAGACGGGGACAACGAUUGGAAACGAUCGCUAAUACCGGAUAGGACGAAAGUUUAAAGGUGCUUCUGGCACCGCUGAUGGAUGAGCCUGCGGCGCAUUAGCUAGUUGGUAGGGUAAAGGCCUACCAAGGCGACGAUGCGUAGCCGACCUGAGAGGGUGAACGGCCACACUGGGACUGAGACACGGCCCAGACUCCUACGGGAGGCAGCAGUAGGGAAUCUUCGGCAAUGGGCGAAAGCCUGACCGAGCAACGCCGCGUGAAUGAUGAAGGCCUUCGGGUUGUAAAAUUCUGUUAUAAGGGAAGAACGACUUUAGUAGGAAAUGGCUAGAGUGUGACGGUACCUUAUGAGAAAGCCACGGCUAACUACGUGCCAGCAGCCGCGGUAAUACGUAGGUGGCGAGCGUUAUCCGGAAUUAUUGGGCGUAAAGAGCGCGCAGGUGGUUGAUUAAGUCUGAUGUGAAAGCCCACGGCUUAACCGUGGAGGGUCAUUGGAAACUGGUCGACUUGAGUGCAGAAGAGGGAAGUGGAAUUCCAUGUGUAGCGGUGAAAUGCGUAGAGAUAUGGAGGA